rnacentral:rRNA from 1 species
CUGGUCUUGACAUCCCGGUGACGCAUAAGUAAAGUUAUGUUUCCCUCGGGACACCGGAGACAGGUGGUGCAUGGUUGUCGUCAGCUCGUGUCGUGAGAUGUUGGGUUAAGUCCCGCAACGAGCGCAACCCCUGUUUCCAGUAGCCAGCAUUUAAGGUGGGCACUCUGGAGAGACUGCCUGGGACAACCAGGAGGAAGGCGGGGAUGACGUCAAAUCAUCAUGCCCCUUAUGAUCAGGGCUACACACGUGCUACAAUGGCGUAAACAAAGGGAGGCGAGACGGUGACGUUGAGCAAAUCCCAUAAAUAACGUCCCAGUUCGGAUUGUAGUCUGCAACCCGACUACAUGAAGCUGGAAUCGCUAGUAAUCGCGAAUCAGAAUGUCGCGGUGAAUACGUUCCC